GCGGUAUGGGAUGGGGUCGCGUCCUAUCAGCUUGAUGGCGGGGUAACGGCCCACCAUGGCUUCGACGGGUAGCCGGCCUGAGAGGGCGACCGGCCACAUUGGGACUGAGAUACGGCCCAGACUCCUACGGGAGGCAGCAGUGGGGAAUAUUGCACAAUGGGCGCAAGCCUGAUGCAGCGACGCCGCGUGCGGGAUGACGGCCUUCGGGUUGUAAACCGCUUUUGACUGGGAGCAAGCCCUUCGGGGUGAGUGUACCUUUCGAAUAAGCACCGGCUAACUACGUGCCAGCAGCCGCGGUAAUACGUAGGGUGCAAGCGUUAUCCGGAAUUAUUGGGCGUAAAGGGCUCGUAGGCGGUUCGUCGCGUCCGGUGUGAAAGUCCAUCGCUUAACGGUGGAUCCGCGCCGGGUACGGGCGGG
rnacentral:rRNA from 1 species